UCUUCUGUUUACUCGUUUCUUCGACGACAUCUCAGGCGCAUGCGCAGUGUUGUCAUCAAUUGGUACGCCUCAUUUUAUUCUUCGGCGAGCAAAUCGAGGAAGGAGGAAACUCUUUUCCAUCUGUCCAGCCACUGCGGCAUGCCACGGAAGCCCCCUUUCAGAUCCAUCAGUGGGAGCUGUGAACCCAUUCACUUUGACCAUAACAUCGAUGUGUUACUUUGGUGUAGAAAGUAAGGGAUAACGUCAAAGGAUCGACAUAAUAUGGAAGGAGCGAAAACCAACUCUGCUGUUCCCAUUCGCAUCCAAAAUGGCUGAGAUCUGACACCAUGUGAAAGAGAGACUUGGCUUCUCUCAGAGGGAUCCUGUUGCUGAGGAAGAAAACAAAAUAACCUUCAUUCAGUCUGAGCACCAGAAAGACGUAUCACCAUCAUCAUCAUCAUCAUCAACACGGCAACAGAAGAGGCACAAGUUGAGAAAGUGGGGUAAUAGAACGGCAUUCAUACUUCUGGGAUAUAAACACAUUAUUCUUUUUUUUUCAUCAUUAUUUAUCAAAUCUUUGUCUGUGAUAAAAGAACCCGCUGAAUUAAAAAUAAACGUGUUUUAACCAAUAAUUCACUAGAUACAGAAAUACACCUGCAGUUUUUGUUAAAGUUUCAUAAUCAUUCGUUUUUUAUUUGACAGAAAAUAAUUUGGAAAUAUUUUUAUUUUGCCCAAUUUCGAUAUUUUUCUUACUUAUGCAAAUUAUUGUCAUUUUCUUCCUUAAAAUACCAAAAAUUUCCACAUGACUUUAUAUUCUGGUCUGUCUGAUGAUGUAAUUUUUAAAUGUUAAAUGAUUGAUAAUUUGAUCAGUUAUUCAGUCAUGAGUAGACUUUUUACCAAAUACCUUCUCACUCAUUUCUUAGACGGCUACAUUUUACUUUUAUUUGAGUAAAAAUAUGUUGAAGUAGUGCUACUCUAACUUGAGUAUAUUUUUUGGGUACUUUACUGACCACAGUUAGUUUAACAAGUGGUGAGAUUUAUAUAAUUAUUUAUAUUGUUUGAAAAGUAAUCACAACAAAACACGACCUGUAGCAAAAUAGACUGAAAUUCACUGAAGAAAAUGAAAAAGGAGCAUUAUGAAAGAAAAUAUUCACACACACAUUGAAGACUGCAAAAGCACUUUCAUUUUGGAGACGGCGGUGUUUGGACAUAAUGGCAGUUCUUAAAUUUAGAGGAAAAAGACAGAAGAUGACGGUUUUUAAAUGGACAAAAGCUCUAAGUAUUCCACCAAAUUAAUUGUGGAUCAAUGACAAGAACAAAUGUUGUGGAAGGAUACUUGAAACUAAAAAUAAAUAAAUUUACCACUUGACAAUGUUUGACAAACUUCUUGGGAAAUAAAUAUUUAUUCAUUUCUGCUUAUCCACAUAGUAUUUUUUAAUAUGUUUCCACUCAUGCUCGACCUGUUAAAAAACAAGAAAAAUCCACAAUCAGUGCCAGCUCUUUAUUCACCUCCACAAAUAAACCACAUUUUUUUACGCACACACAAAUCUUUUUGACACUAUUUUCACUCCAUAGAACUACUCCAUUAUCUGUAUACUUGUAAGAAGAUGAUGUUUUUUAUUUUUUUGCUGGAGUGAAUGAAAACUGUCUUUUAAAGUUUUUAUUUCUUGAUUUUGUCACAAUCUUAUUAAGAGGGACUGAUGAGGGAGUAUUCGGGGUAUCAUCAUAAAACAAAUUUACAGUCUAUCUUCAUGCUCUUGUACUUAGUAGACACAUACAGUUGAAACCAGAAGUGUACAUAGAGUGACACUACUUUAGUAGCUCUACAUCGCAGUUAUCUAGAGGAACAACUUUUAAAUCAAUAACUUGUUUUUUAAAAUUGUACUCAAAACAAAGCUUGUCAUUUAUCAAAAUAAAAAUAGUUUUGGUGAUUCUAACUGACCUUAAACAAGAGAAGUUUAGUCUGAUUUAGUGUCAGAGAGUAAGGAGAAAAAAAAGUGUAUCUUUUUAUGUGGUGUAUUCAAUCAUCUGGUUGCAACUGCACACGUAUAAAAGAAUAAAGUAUUACAGAGCAGUGAA